AGGAGGGAGGAGACCGGGACUGGGAGAGGGAGGGAGGGAACGGGAGGAGGCGGAGACGGGAUAGGGAGGGAGGAGGGAGGAGACCGGGACCGGGAGAGGGAGGGAGGGAGGAGGGAGGAGGCGGAGACGGGAGAGGGAUAAUUAGAAGGGAGGAGGGAGGAGGCUAGGGUUUCGCAGUUAAACCCGAAAACUUUAGCCGACGAAAUAAUUAUUUCGUCGGCUAAAGAUACGAAUUUCGUCGGCUAUACAUCAAUUCGUCGGCUAAACCUUCUAAAUUCGUCAGCUAAAACUUUGAAAUUCGUCGGUUAAACUUUAUAAAUUCGUCGGCUAAACCUUUGAAAUUCGUCGGCUAACCUUUGAAAUUCGUCGGCUAAAAGUAUUUUUAUACAUUUGGCACAUUGUGAUUGUGAUGAUCAAACUUGAGAAAAAUAAAUCCGACCGUCAGAUCUGACCAUCAUGACAAAAUACAUGUAUGGGAAAAAAUUCAACUUGAUCCGACAAGAAUAAGGGCUCGAUCCGGACGGUCAAUCUCGUAAGUCAACGCACGGAAAAGGUCGUUCGACCGUCUAAAUUACGUAUUUUGGCCGGACCUUCAACUAAAAAUAGUUUUAAAUUGAUGACACGCAACAAGUCGUAUAAAAAUUUUACGCAAAAUAACCACCGAAUAUAGGGCUACUCAUAGGUGAAAAGAAUGAAAAAUUGCAUUGACCGCAACUAUCGGCAUCGAAUAUUUACCGGAAUAGUGUGAUUUUUCAACCGUGGAUGUAUUUCAACAUUCUCGUCAUAUCUUAUUUCAUGACUUUUUGGCGUUUGAAGGUUUUACGUAUAGUUUGUUUUUGAAACGGAACAUUUACAUAACACUUGGUAAACAAGUUAUACAACAUUAGUAUGCAUGUUGUGAUUGUGAUUAUCAAACUUGAGAAACAGAAAUCCGACCGUCAGAUCUGACCAUCACGACAAAAUACAUGUAUGGGAAAAAAUUCAACUUGAUCCGAAAAGAAUAGGGGCUCGAUCCAGACGGUCAAUCUCAUAAGUCAAACCCCUAAACGCACGGAAAAGGUCGUUCGACCGUCUAAAUUACGUAUUUUGACCAGACCUCCAACUGAAAAUAGUUUCAAACCGAUGAGACGCAAGAAGUCGUCUAAAAAUUUUACGGAAAAUAACCACCGAAGAUAGGGCUAUAGUAGGUAAUAGAAAAAUUUUAGGGUUUAGCCGACGAAUACCCUAACGUAUUCGUCGGCUAUAGUAUGUGAUUAAAAAAAUUAAAAAAUAACUAAAGCCGACGAAAUAUUAGGUUAUUC
rnacentral:lncRNA from 1 species